rnacentral:rRNA from 1 species
CCUACGGGCGGCAGCAGUGGGGAAUAUUGGGCAAUGGAGGCAACUCUGACGCAGCAACGCCGCGUGAGUGAUGAAGGUCUUCGGAUUGUAAAGCUCUGUGAGGGGGGAAGAAAAUGACGACGGUACACCAAUAGCACGCCACGGCUAACUACGUACCAGCAGCCGCGGUAAUACGUAGGUAGGAAGCGUUAUCAGGAAUGACUGGGAGUAAAGGGGGCGUAGGUGGUUUAGGAAGUUUGCGGUGUAAUGCCGGGGCUCAACCCCGGGGCUACGCACAAAACGAUUUGACUUGAGUGCAGGGGGGGUAAGUGGAAUUCCUAGUGUAGCGGUGGAAUGCGUAGAUAUUAGGAGGAACACCAGGGGCGAAGGCGACUUACUGGACUGUAACUGACGUUGAGGCACGAAAGCGUGGGGAGCAAACAGGAUUAGAUACCCUUGUAGUC